rnacentral:tRNA from 1 species
UCCUUGGUUGCCUAGUGGUUAGGGUUGCACACUUUCACUGCCAUGGCCUAGGUUCAAUCCCUGGUCAAGGGA